rnacentral:lncRNA from 1 species
GCAGAUGGCUUCUACUUCAAAGUCCACAAUACCGUCUGCAUUCGGAUCAGAUAUUUCUGAUUCAGAUUCAGAAGACUCGCUUUCAGACGAGUGUUGAUUAAACGAUUUUUUUUUUCUUAUUCAAACUUCGAAUGUUUAACGAUUCUGUAAUUUAAUUUCUUUUUAAUAAAAAACAUCGAUUUCAAUUUCAAUUUCAAAAUCGUUUUCUCAAAUAUCGAUUUCUAUUUAAAAAAACAACGAUUCGAACGCAAAAUAUAGAAUCCUGUUUUUAAAAAAAAUGUAACAAACAUUGUAUGGCGGAUUUCCGCCAUCUAUACUCUUCUACUAAGGUUUAGAUGACGGAUAUCCGCCAUCUAUAAACUAAGGGAACCGCCUGCUGUACUUUAGAUGGCGGAUUUCCGCCAUCUAAUGUUCCAAGGAUAGUCGGCGGACAUCCGCCAUCAAUGAAAUUAACCGCCAUCAAUGAAUUGGCGCCAAACUAUUCCCGCGCCAUAUUUUAAAUGGCGGAUUUCCGCUAUCUAAAACUUUUUAGUUCGCGCGAAAAUUUUCAGAUUAGAUGGCGGAUUUCCGCCAUCUAUACGAUUUUUGGUGGGAAAUGGGGAUGGAUAAUAGAUGACGGUCUUUAGAUGGCGGUUUAGGGGUUUUAAUGGCGGUGUCCAAGAUGGCGGAUUUCCGCCGACGAUCACUUUAGAUGGCGGAAAUCCGCCAUCUAAAGACCGCCAUACAAGGUCCUUUUUCUUGUAGUGAUGAUGUGAACAGAACCAAACCAAAAUGGUAUUUAAUAUUCAUUUUUAUAGGUUUUUAUGAUCGAUUUUAAGAAUAGGGCAUGUAAAUUUUAUUUUUAAAAUAGUAAAAAAUUAAAAAAAUCCACCUUGGACAAAUUUCACACCCUUCCGUGAAUUCUUGGAUACACCACUGGAGGUGGGUGGGACUCAAUCAGGAAACAUGUUCGAACUCUCCAAUGCUCUAUUCGCCGUCUCUCAGUGAUCUCUCAAAGUUCUCUCCAAGAAAUCCUAUCUCUCUAAUUGCUGAAAAUGACCCCCUAUUUAUAAGAUUUCUUAUGGGGGUAAUCAAGUCAUUAGAGCAUUAACUACCUAACUUCCUUGCUAACCCAUAUCUAGCACCAAUUUGACUUUAUGGGAUCGACUUUUCUAGGUUGACUUUUCUUAAAUCUAAUUAAAGGGAUGAUAAGAGGGAAAUAGAUAUUUUAGUUUGAGAAAACAGUUUAUAUUAAGUCUAAUUGUUAUGAUUGACAUUAAUUAUUAAUCAACAACAACCAACGAUAAAAAAAAUGGAAGGUUAUAGUAAGUGAUAAGGUCUCUAAUUAACAUAACAUGAAGAAAAAUGCUUUAAAAAAUUCAAAAUUAAACAAAUUGUUAUAAUUUAAUAAACAAAUAAAUGUUCUUUGAAAUUUGGGUACUGUUGGCUCAUUCACAAUCACAAUCGAUUGAAAUACUUUUAGAUUUUCAAAGUUAAUGAUCAAAGAAUCACACUACUAUUUUCCUAUAGAGAUAGCAUGGUUAUAUGUAUGGGUGGAAAUGAACCAAAAUAUGAAUGAGUUUGAAUGUAGUGAAACAAUAAUAAAAAUGGAUUUCCUCAACUAUAAACUGGCCUUCUUCUUUAGAGACGCAUUUCAUUAAUGGUCCAUCAUAUGAUUUUUUAUAUAGAAUGUCUUCAAUUUGGCAUAAUCUCAGGAUGCGCGUUUGUAGCUUCCGGCGUUCAUUUUUAUCUUUUGGCAGUUCUUGGCCUUAGAAAUACUCUAGUAAUAGUUGCCUCCAAUCUUCGACCUGACUUGUCACUAGAUUGCAAGAGAGGACAAACACUGAGUCUACUAGUUUUUCCCUUUGCCCGCCAUCGAACGCAGAGACAAGCUUUGCAAGUGCAUCUGCAGAGUUGUUCUGGCUUCGGGGGACCUGUUCUAUUUUUAUUUUUUCAAACUGCAGCUUUAUUUUGUCUAAUGUUGCUGCGUACUGUACUAUCUGAGGUUCUUUUACUGAGAACUCUCCUGUUGACUAUCUUACCAUCAGCUGAGAGUCGGUUCUGACUAUUACUAAGCAGGCUCCCAAUGUUUUGACUAUUUUCAAAUCUUGGAUUACAACCUCGUAUUCUGCUGUGUUGUUUGUAGCCAUGAAUUGCAGUCUUACCGAGUGUUCGUAUAUUUUCUGGUCUGGGGUUAUUAUCUUGACCCCUACUCCAGCAACUGUACUACAGCUUGAGCCGUCAACUUCCACUACCCAAGGAGAGUCCUCAUUACUCUGCGUCAUAUCUACUAUGAAAUCUGCAAUGGCUUGUCCUUUGAUAGUUAUAGCUGGAAUAAAAUCGAUGUCAAACUCGCUCAGUUCCAGUGCCCAUUUUGUGAGUCUGCCCUAUGUAUCUGGCCUGUGAAUGAUCCUUCUUAGUGGAUGUUCAGUCAGGACUUUGAUCGUGUGAGCCAGAAAAUAUGUUCGAAAUCUUCGCGCUGCAUGUACGACGGCGAGAACAAUCGAUCUUUUGAACUGGAGAAUACCGGGUCUCUACCCUUUGCAACCUUUUUGAGUGAUAGUAGAUAGGUAUCUGCUCACUAUCUCUCUGGUAAAUUAGUACUGCGUUGAUUGCCUCUUCUGAUGCUGCUACAUAUACAUAUAAGUCCUCCCCUGUCUGCGGGGAGGCUAGGUGUGGUAGUGAUAUCAAGUAUUUCUUUAACUGUUCGAAUGCCUGUUCGCAUUCCGAGAUCCAUGUUACUGGCCCUUUUUGACUUGUUUUGAGUAGCUAGAAAAAGGGUUUACACUUGUCUGCUACUUUGGAUAUGAAUCUUCUCAAGGCAUUGAUCUUUCCAUUGAGUCUCUGUACUUCUCUGAUGGUUCGUGGUGGCUUGGUCUCCAAGAUUGUAGUUACCUUCUCUGGGUUGGGCUUUAUUCCUCUUUGGCCUACAUAAAACCCUAGGAAUUUUCCCUCUUGGACCCCGAAGCUGCAUUUGGAUGGAUUGAGCCGCAUUUCGUACCUUUUCAUAGUUUCCAGUGUUGCUCGUAAGUUCUGCCAAUGAUCUCUUGUGUGCCUUUACUUUACUAGGAUGUCAUCUACAUACGUCAGGACGUUUCUCCCUACCUGCUCUUUGAAUACCUUGUCCAUGAGCCUUUGGAAGGUUGCUCCUGCAUUUCAUAGGCCGAAUGGCAUAACCCUGUAGCAGAAAGUUUCCCAUUCUGUGAUGAAUGAUGUGGCUUCCUCAUCUUCUUCUUUCAUGAGUAUCUGAUUGUAGCCCGAGUGCGCAUCCAUCAUUGAUAAUAGUUCAUUACCCGAAGUCUCAUCCACUAAUCUGUCUAUUGAAGGGAGUGGAUAGCUAUCCCUUGGGCAUGCUUUAUUGAGAUCUGUUAAGUCUACACACAUUCGCUACUUUCUAUUGGAUUUCUUCACCAUCACCCCCGUUGGCUAGCCACUGUGGGUAUUUGACUUCGCGUAUAUGUCCUGCAUUGAUUAGUUUUUAUAUUUCAGCCCACGUUGCUUCUUUCCUUUCAGCUGCGAGAAUUCUUCGCUUAUGUCAUAUUAGAGUGAAGUCUGGAUCAAUGUUUAGCUCAUGGCAUGUUGUGGUCAAUUGUACCUGUGAGGGUGCCUCUCCCUCCCAUACAAACGAUGCUUCAUGAGUAUUCAGUAAUAUCAAGGAAGCUUUUAAUUCUGAGGUAAUGGACGUACCUAUUAGAUUUUUUCCUCCCUCAGUUAGUGCAACUUCUUCUAUUUGGCCAUGUGGUGUCAUUUCCUCCUUGUCCUCCCUCUUUCGGAUGAACAGAGUUAUGGGCUUGGCCAUUUUUGUUGCUUUUUUGUAUGAAUCCCUUGAAUCCCUUUGUGUUCUUUGCACAGUUGUCAUUUUUCCAUCAUUUCCUAAAUAUCUGAAAGUCUGAUGGUAGGAUGAGGGUACUGCCUUGAAGCCAUGUAUACUUGAUCUUCCUAGGAUUCCGUUGAACAGAGAAGCGAUGUCUACCAUAAUAAAAUGUGUUGUUCUGGAUACUCUUCCUCUUCUCUUGCCCAAUGAUAUUUCUAAAUCAAUUAUACCCGCUACUGAAGCUUUGGUAUUUAUGAAACCAUAAAUUGCCUCUUUGGCUGGUGUCAGCUGCUCUCUUUUGAAGCCCAUUUUCUCGAAAGCUGCCAGAUAUAGGAUGUCUACUGAGUUCCCGUUGUCUACUAGUACUUUGGUCAGAGUCAGGUCUGCUCCUAUAUCUAUCUGGAUUACUAAUGGGUCUUCGUGCAGAUUUGCUAUAUUAUCUAAAUCCUCUUCUGAAAAGCUAACAUCCUUCUGUGGUAUGCUCUUUUCUUCGGAUUCUUUACUGGUUGCAUAGUAGUAUGUAGGACUUUUCUAGUAUAGCUUCUACUUUGUCUUACUGAUCCCACUCCGAAGAUGACAUUGAUAACCAUUCUUUUUUGGUCAUUGGGUUUGUCGUCUCGACUUCGUGAGCGCUCUCGCUUUCCUCUACUUCUUAGGGGUUUGCAAAUUGUUUUUUCUCGAAUUUCAGCCACACAUCCUUUUAGUUUCCCUGCCUUUUCCUGGGUUUCUAAGAAUGUUUCUAGUUUCCUACAGGUAUUGGUUCCGUGCCCGUAAUCCCUGUGGAACUCACAGUACCUUCUGCUCUUUUCGCGAACCUCUUUGGUGGUGGGAUUUAAAGGAUUGUGCUCUGGAAAUUUUAUUUUUCUUUUCUCCCUGUCGUAUAUUUCUUGAUGCGACACAUUGAAAGGAUUGUUAAAGUUAUGAAACCUAGAUCUCAUGGGUUCCUCUAAUAUUUGAUAGACUCUGCUAUCAUGUAUGGGUUUCCAUGAUGACUCCCCUUUUUCAAAUUUUUAUUUCUGUGGCAUGAAUGCCCUUGCUGCGGCGGCCACUUUCUCUUUUUCUUUUUCUUUUGAGUUCAUGUACUUCUGUGCCUGAACCAUCAUUUCUUCUAUGCUGGUUAUGGGUUUUACAUUCAGCUUGAUUACUAGUGGGUUGUUCCUGUCUAAACCGCUUGAAUACACAUAGAUUGCGAUGGUCCUAUUGAGGUUGGAAACCUUUUGCAUAGCCUCAGUGAAUUUGUUUGUGUAAUUCCUGAGGGUGUCACUGUUCUAUUUUUUAAAAAACAACGAAUAUGUACCCUUCUUCACCGUUACAUUGUCACAGUGUUGAGUUAGGAAUUUCUCUCUUAGGUCAGAGAAGUUUUUAAUGCUCUGGACUGGUAGAUCUGCGAACCAUUUAUAUGUUGUUCCUCUCAAGGUUUCAGGAAAAUCCUUGCACGGUAUGUCAUCCCUCUCUGUUACCCAUUGCAUUACUCCCCUGAACAUAUUUAUAUGGUCUACAGGGUCCUGCUUUCCAUCGUAUUCGGGCAAUUUUGACAACCUGAACCCUAUUGGUGUAGUGUUUAUCAUUAAUGAACUGUCUAAAGGUUCCAUGCCCUCGAAUAAGAUUGGGUGCCUUUGUGUUGUAUUUUCUGAAUCCCCCGUUCACUCUCUGUGUCGGAUGUGGGAUUUGAUAGGGUUUUGGACUUUCCCCUGACUCUCUGGCAGGGGUUUCUUCCCUUGACUUUUAUGUGUGAGGGGUGUGGACUGUGAUGUGUGACUCUUUGCCCUUUGUCUUUCUGAACCUUGGCCUGAGAGGCGUGCUGAAGUCUGAUCCCUUGUAUACUGGGCUGUCCAGGUUCUGCGUGUGGUUUCGCCUGCUUUUAACCUUUCUGCCAUUCGAGCUAUGGUUUCUUUCAUAGUAAUUAACUCUUCGAUAGGGAUCUGUAUCAUAGAGUGAUGGCUGCUAGAAGGGGCAAGCGAUUGUUCAAUGUUUAGAGACCUUUCUUGAUGGGCGGGAAUCUGCUGUCGUUCCCUCUGUUGUUCCCUUUCUAUCUGGAAAAAAUUCAGUGGAUUUUGCUGUGCUACCACUUCUUGCUGGACCUGAUUUGUCAGAGAAACAUGUAUCGUUAUAAUUUGAUUUUCUCCUUGCCCAUUAGUUUGGGCUCUGGGGUUCUCAGGUACCCCUUCCUGUUGGGUUGUUCCUGGUGUUCUCCCUCUUAUAAGAGGUCUUCCUUGUAUUGACCAUUUUGCUUCCUAGUUCGGAGAAAAUCGAGCUGAGGUGGUCGACUUACGUGUUGGUCGACUUAGAGAAGUCGAGUGCUGCAAGGUCCUCCGAGGGUCGAGCCUCUCAUUGAAGUCGAACUGAUUGGAACUCGAGCCUAGGGUCGAUCCUCCCACGGUGGUUGCUUUCCCUGAAAGUCGACCUUGGACAAGUCGAGCUUAUGGAAGUCGAACCUGGGGUCGGUCCUCCUAAGACGGUUGAGUUGGAUCACAAAAUCGACCAUGGGAGUCGAACCUCCCGAGAAAGUCGAGUUGGAAGGCUGAGUCUGCGCUGUUGGGAGCUGAUUUUGCCGCGACUUUUCGAAAAAGUCGAUCACCUUUCUAUUUUGUAUCUUGAAUUCACAGACGACGCCAACUGAUAAAGGUGGAACCCGAUCAGUGCUCGGGCGACGCUUCGAACAAGCGUAGGGCCGUGAACUCCGUCGGAAAUUGCUCGGACACUCUAAAUCAACUACCAGAAGUUGUUGAUUUAGUUUCUACUGGUAAAAUAUUUUGACGCAAAAUAUACUGGAAAUUGAAUUUAAAUAAUUCAUUUUGAAUAAGAAUUAAAAAAACUCAAUCGGAAAAAAAAAAUUAUUGAGUAACUUUGGAGUAACUAGCUCUGGAGUAACUCUGGAGUGUCUCUCCAUUCGUUCUCCAAUAGCUCUCAAUUAGCUCUCUAGUAGCUCUCCAUUAGCUCCAUCAACUAAAUCAGAAAAACUUAUUCGAACUAAAAUUAUACUGAAAAAGAUUCAAACUGAGAUAUUAUUAGAAACUAAAUCAUAUGUAGAAACUAAAAUAUCAGUUGAAACAAUGGGAAAUUCAAUCAGAAUAAGAAUUAAAAAAACUCAAUGGGAAAAAGAAAAUUCUUAAGUAGCUCUCCAAUAGCUUGGAGUAACUAUGGAGUAGGUCUCCAGCAGCUCUGGAGUAACUAUGGAGUAGCUCUCCAGCAACUAUGGAGUAGCUCUCCAGCAGCUCUCCGUAGUUCUGGAAUAGCUCGCCAGUAGCUCUGGAGUAACUAUGGAGUAGCUCUAGAGUAGCUCUCCAGUCGUUCUGAAGUAGCUCACCAGUAGCUCUGAAGUAGCUCUGAAGUAGCUCUCCAUUAGCUCUAGAGUAGCUCUCCAUGAGCUCCAUCAACUAAAUCAGAAAAACUCAUUGAAACUAAAAUUAUACUGAAAAAGAUUCAAACUAAAAUAUCAGUAGAAACUAAAUCAUUAGAACCAUAUCAGUAGAAACUAUACCAAAGUUUGUCAUUUUAUGAAAUCAGUAGAACCAUAUAAGCAGAACAAUAUCAAAAGAAAUUAAAUGUAAUCAAAUGUACUACAAAAGUAAUAUCAGUAGAAACUAAGCAAGCUUCAAAUGAUUGAAUGAGGUUCCACGAAAGUAUCUAAAUGUUCAAUCAGUAGAAACUAAAUCUAAUUUGCAAAAAAAAAACUAAAUGUAAAAAACAUUAAAAAAUAAAACCUAAAAUAUGAUAUGUGAAUAUCAACUAAAACAAACAAACUCACUCGAAGUAAAAUAAUACUGAUAAUGAUUCAAACUAAAAUAUCAGUAUGAACUAAAUCAAUAUAAACUUUAUCCGUAGAAACUAAACGAUGAUCGAUCCAAAGACUAUAAAAAAUAAAUAAGAAUCAGAGUGGAAAAACUCUGACCGAUUUGAUGACUAACUGAUCAGGUGGUAACACGAACGAUUGGAGAGAAAGAAGGAGCAAGAACAGAAUACGAAAAGAGGAGGUGAGCAGGAAGACUGCAAUUAAACGACCGGAGAGGAAGAAAUAGUAAGAACACGGAUGCGACGACGAUCACGGUAGCAUCAGUUAGUUAGAUGACGAAAAGAGGGAAGAGGAGGCGGGAGCGGAGCUGCAAGUGAAACCCUUUUUCUAAUCUAGCUUAUUUGGGUCAUGUACCGAAAAGAAAC